GUGGGGAAUCUUCCGCAAUGGACGAAAGUCUGACGGAGCGACGCCGCGUGAGUGAAGAAGGCCUUCGGGUCGUAAAGCUCUGUCAUCAGGGACGAACGGCCGGUGGAGUGGAAAGCCACCGGAUUGACGGUACCUGAGAAGGAAGCCACGGCUAACUACGUGCCAGCAGCCGCGGUAAUACGUAGGUGGCAAGCGUUGUCCGGAAUUAUUGGGCGUAAAGCGCGCGCAGGUGGGAUCUUAAGUCCAUUUUGAAAGUUCGGAGCUCAACUCCGUGAUGGGAUGGAAACUGGGAGUCUUGAGUACCGGAGAGGAAAGCGGAAUUCCCCGUGUAGCGGUGAAAUGCGUAGAUAUGGGGAGGAACACCAGUGGCGAAGGCGACUUUCUGGACGAUGUCUGACGCUGAGGCGCGAAAGCUAGGGGAGCGAACGGGAUUAGAAACCCCAGUAGUCC
rnacentral:rRNA from 1 species